UACGUAGGGUGCGAGCGUUGUCCGGAAUUAUUGGGCGUAAAGAGCUUGUAGGCGGUCUGUCGCGUCUGCUGUGAAAAUCCGGGGCUCAACCCCGGACUUGCAGUGGGUACGGGCAGACUAGAGUGUGGUAGGGGAGACUGGAAUUCCUGGUGUAGCGGUGAAAUGCGCAGAUAUCAGGAAGAACACCCGUGGCGAAGGCGGUUCUCUGGGCAACAACUGACGCUGAGGAGCGAAAGCGUGGGGAGCGAACAGG
rnacentral:rRNA from 1 species